rnacentral:rRNA from 1 species
UACGUAGGGUCCGAGCGUUGUCCGGAAUUACUGGGCGUAAAGAGCUCGUAGGCGGUCUGUCACGUCUGCUGUGAAAACUCAGGGCUUAACCCUGAGCUUGCAGUGGGUACGGGCAGACUAGAGUGCGGUAGGGGAGACUGGAAUUCCUGGUGUAGCGGUGAAAUGCGCAGAUAUCAGGAGGAACACCGGUGGCGAAGGCGGGUCUCUGGGCCGUAACUGACGCUGAGGAGCGAAAGCAUGGGGAGCGAACAGG